CUACACUUGUGCUAGGCAGGCACCGCUGUGACUGGGCUCCGGGCCUUUCCACUACGUUGAAGAAGAAAACCUAUUUUUAAAUUUCAAUCAAAUGCCUGGUAGGAAUUGCUAGCGUUGCCCCUGCCAACUCUCAGGAUUAACUUCUUGGAGAAGAUGUUUCCUUGCAGGUUUCUGAAGUGCUGCCAUUAGAGAAGCCAUCUGAAGACUUCUGUGGAAUAGGAGAUCUAGCCCAGCUUUAGAACAGCCGAGAAUCAUGUUCUUGGUCUUUUGCUUUCAGAGCCAAGUGACAGGCACCCGUACGGCGGCCACUUGAGUUUGACUAGAGGAGCCCUUCAGCUCUCACUUGCUGUGUUACCUUGUAAAGCAGAAUAGCAUCCUGUAUUUAGAGCUGGCUGAAAAAAUUCUAGAUUCCAUCAAUACACCUAAAGAAUUGCAGUUCAGAAUACUCAUGACGUUCUGUGGCCCAAGUGCCUGCCCUCUCGGCCCCCGGAGGCAGGACCCCCAAGUUCCACCAAGCACCCUGGGUGCCCACCCUCACUGAGGAGUUCAGUGAAACCUCUAAGGUGGGCCAGGAUUCAGUAGCCUCCAGGUUCUCUUCUCUGCAUUCCCUUCAUUACUAAGAAUACAGAUUCUUCUUCAAGGCUGGACUUUCUCAAAAAGAAUCUUGUUCUUGCUUCCAGCAGUGCCUGUUUCCCAUUCUGUGUGUGUGUGUGUGUGUGUGUGUGUAAGACAGAGUCCCUCUCUGUCACCCAGGCUGGAGUGCAGUGGUGUGAUCUCGGCUCACUGCAACCUCCGCCUCCCAGGUUCAAGUGAUCCUCCCACCUCAGCCUCCUGAGUAGCUGGAAUUAGAGGUGCCCACCACCACGCCUGCCUAAUUUUUGUAUUUUUGGUAGAGACAGGGUUUCACCAUGUUAGCCAGGCUGGUCUCGAACACCUGACCUCAAGUGAGCCGUCCACCUUGGCCUCCCAAAGUGCUGGGAUUCCAGGCAUGAGCCACCGCACCUGGUCCCCAUUCUUAAGAUAACCCGGCAGAGCUGCGACAGCCCCUGCGGUUUCCACUAGCAGGGGGAGCUAGUGUGGUUGGGGGUUAGGGUGCUGCUCCCAAAGCCUCCUGGGGGCAAAUCCCAGCUCUACCACUUUCUAGCUCUGUGGCCUUGGGCAAGUUACCUCGUAGUGAUAACACCUGCUUGCAUGGGUGUUACGGAGACCACAGCGCUUUUGCUAAUACUUAGAAUAUUCGAGCCAUGAUGAAAAAAGUUCUUAACUGGUUUGUUGUUGUUGUUGUUGUUGUUGUUUGGUAAAUAUAGAACAUUCUGU
rnacentral:lncRNA from 1 species